ACCACCAACCUAGAAUCAUGCUCCUCUGUGCCCCGGUCCCUCUCUUGCCCUGACACACACAGGGGAAGCCCCAACACUCUUCUUCGAUGAGUCCCUUGUCUUGACCACAGGAGACAGUCGCCUGGGUCCCAGUCUCUGCCUCUCCAGUGUGGGCCUGGGUGAUUGCCUUUGGCUGGGAUACAGAGGCCCUGGUCACAGCCGGGGCAUUCUAGAAUUCCCUUACGUCAUCACUAUGAGGCCCAGAGUAUUUGCCAUGAGAAGAGAAAGGGACAUUGCACAUUUCAACCCAAUGAGACCUGGGAUGUGUGCAAGUAAGAUGCCAUUCAACAUGAGAGCGUGUGUACAAUGUCCUCCUUACAUUUUUUAUCGGCUUUGGUGCCCGGCACUCAAAAGGGCCUCAACGCAGUGGAAGAACAAUUGAGAAAGCAAACCGACUCUGAGCCCCUACCUCGCUCUGCUCCUUGUCGGCCUGCGCUUCUUUCAGUUGACCAAGAAGCUUCUCCUGUUCCCGAGUCAGGGCCUUCACGGUGUCUCUCACCCUGUACGUGGGGACAUGGAACAUCAGAUAACCCGGCUGGUCACCACAGAAGAUAUGAAGGACGUGGACUUUUGUCUUUAUCACUUUUUCUGGUGCCCCUCUGGGCCCACACCUCCUAUUGUCUCUGGGAUGCCCAAAUCCCCAGACCAAGGUGAUCUCGCUGGAAGCCCUGAGUAUCCAAGAUUCCUGGUUCUAGAGCACAAUCCAGAAAUAAACAGUUUGUUCUCUU